CGCGUAGGCGGAUAUCUAAGUCGGGGGUGAAAGCCCGGGGCUCAACCUCGGAAUUGCCUUCGAUACUGGAUAUCUUGAGUACGGGAGAGGUGAGUGGAACUCCGAGUGUAGAGGUGAAAUUCGUAGAUAUUCGGAAGAACACCAGUGGCGAAGGCGACUCACUGGCCCGUUACUGACGCUGAGGCGCGAAAGCGUGGGGAGCAAACA
rnacentral:rRNA from 1 species